CAAAGUGACAUGUUACUGCACUGUAUGGAAGUCUCACACAUCUCCUUUUAGUGACCCUGUCUCAGUCACUGUUCAGGAUCUGUUGGGAGUUCACAUCAGUGAUCCAACAACUAUACAGACACCUUCUAUAGCAGUGGGUUUGACUCCAGGUCCUAGAUCUACUUUGCCUCCCAGCACGACAGUGAGUCCUACAGAAGACACCACAGUGACACCAACUACCAGUUUGACCUCCCCUUUGACCCCUAGCACGGCAGUGAAUCCUUUAUCAGGUCUCUUAGUCAUCUUUAUCUAGUUAGCUAAUAUAAGUAAAACAAAUAGAGUAGCUUAUCUUCUCCAUGUUUUUGUAUGUUUUUUUCCCAUCACAAAUUUGCCUCAUUACAAAAAGAGGUUGAUAUUUGAUUGAUUAAAAUCAACCCAUUUAGAUGUAUUUUUGUAUAAUCAGAUCCAAUGAUUUGCUUUGCAUCAGGGUCGACUGUUUGCUGUACUUUGACCACUGACACCCCAGCAAGUCCA